GAUCAUGGCUUAGGAUGAACGCUAGCGACAGGCUUAACACAUGCAAGUCGAGGGGCAGCGGGGGUAGCAAUACCCGCCGGCGACCGGCGCACGGGUGAGUAACGCGUAUGCAACUUACCUAUCAGAGGGGGAUAACCCGGCGAAAGUCGGACUAAUACCGCAUGAAGCAGGGGUCCCGCAUGGGGAUAUUUGCUAAAGAUUCAUCGCUGAUAGGUAGGCAUGCGUUCCAUUAGGCAGUUGGG
rnacentral:rRNA from 1 species